GACGGAGGGUGCUAGCGUUGUUCGGAAUGACUGGGCGUAAAGGGCGCGUAGGCGGCUCGUGAAGUCGGGUGUGAAAGCCCGGGGCUCAACCCCGGAACGGCAUCCGAUACUGGCGGGCUUGAGACCGGGAGAGGAGGUGGAAUACCGUGUAGAGGUGAAAUUCGUGAGAUAGUUGGGUGGAAACACCGGUGGCGAAAGCGGCUCUCUGGCCCGGAUCUGACGCUGAGGCGGCGAAAAGCGUGGGGAGCAAACACGG
rnacentral:rRNA from 1 species